ACCCUUUAAUGUUUGAUGUUCUAACGUGGACCCGUGAUCCGGGUUGCGGACAGUGUCUGGUGGGUAGUUUGACUGGGGCGGUCUCCUCCUAAAGAGUAACGGAGGAGCACGAAGGUUGGCUAAUCCUGGUCGGACAUCAGGAGGUUAGUGCAAUGGCAUAAGCCAGCUUGACUGCGAGCGUGACGGCGCGAGCAGGUGCGAAAGCAGGUCAUAGUGAUCCGGUGGUUCUGAAUGGAAGGGCCAUCGCUCAACGGAUAAAAGGUACUCCGGGGAUAACAGGCUGAUACCGCCCAAGAGUUCAUAUCGACGGCGGUGUUUGGCACCUCGAUGUCGGCUCAUCACAUCCUGGGGCUGAAGUAGGUCCCAAGGGUAUGGCUGUUCGCCAUUUAAAGUGGUACGCGAGCUGGGUUUAGAACGUCGUGAGACAGUUCGGUCCCUAUCUGCCGUGGGCGCUGGAGAACUGAGGGGGGCUGCUCCUAGUACGAGAGGACCGGAGUGGACGCAUCACUGGUGUUCGGGUUGUCAUGCCAAUGGCACUGCCCGGUAGCUAAAUGCGGAAGAGAUAAGUGCUGAAAGCAUCUAAGCACGAAACUUGCCCCG
rnacentral:rRNA from 1 species